rnacentral:rRNA from 1 species
UACGAAGGGGGCUAGCGUUGCUCGGAAUCACUGGGCGUAAAGCGCACGUAGGCGGCGCCGCAAGUGUGGGGUGAAAGCCCACGGCUUACCCGUGGAAUUGCCUGGCAGACUGCGGUGCUAGAGUGUGGUAGGGGAGAGCGGAAUUUCCGGUGUAGCGGUGAAAUGCGUAGAUAUCGGAAGGAACAUCAGUGGCGAAAGCGGCUUCCUGGACCAGCACCGACGUUCAGGCACGAAAGCGUGGGGAGCAAACAGG